rnacentral:misc_RNA from 1 species
GAUGAAGAACGUAGCGAAAUGCGAUACGUAAUGUGAAUUGCAGAUCUCUCAGUGAAUCAUCGAAUCUUUGAACGCACAUUGCGCCCGCCAGUAUUCUGGCGGGCAUGCCUGUUCGAGCGUCAUUACAACCCUCAGGCCCCCGGGCCUGGCGUUGGGGAUCGGCGGAGCCCCCCGUGGGCACACGCCGUCCCCCAAAUGCAGUGGCGGUCCCGCCGCAGCUUCCAUCGCGUAGUAGCUAACACCUCGCGACUGGAGAGCGGCGCGGCCACGCCGUAAAACACCCAACUCUUCUGAAGUUGACCUCGAAUCAGGUAGGAAUACCCGCUGAACUUAAGCAUAUCAAUAAGCGGAGGA